UGGUGAUAGUCAUACAAGAAAUUCUUCUUCGCAGUCUUCCAGCUCUGAAAGAACAGCAAAGCUCUUUUUGAUAGCAAGGGUCAUAAAUAUGGAAUCAAACGGAAAUCCCUUGAUGGAAAGAAAAUUACAUGGAGAUGUACAGUCCGUUGGGAGAAAGAAAACUGUCCAGGCAUUGUUAAAGAAGAGAAUGGGGUUUAUCGAGAAACUAUAAAACACACUUGCCAAAAGAAAAAAGACGUGCACGUACAGGCUAGAGUCUACUCAAAAUGUAAGGAGGAGAUACGGAAAAACCGACACGCAGUGCCCCGGAAAGUGUCUGAACCUGCACUACUUGAAGAGUUUCUGGACGACGAAGAAGCUGAACUGCCCAAAUUGUCGAAUUUAAAUAGAGCGCUCUACAAGAUCAAAGAAG